AUUGAACGCUGGCGGCGUGCUUAACACAUGCAAGUCGAGCGAGAAAGCUUUCUUCGGAAAGUGAGUAGAGCGGCGCACGGGUGAGUAACGCGUGGAUAAUCUACCCUGAAGAUCGGGAUAACAGUUGGAAACGACUGCUAAUACCGGAUGUCCUGCAUAUUUAACUUUAUGUGGAAAAGGUGGCCUCUAUUUAUAAGCUACCGCUUUUGGAUGAGUCCGCGUCUCAUUAGCUUGUUGGUGGGGUAAUGGCCUACCAAGGCAACGAUGAGUAGCUGGUCUGAGAGGAUGAUCAGCCACACUGGGACUGAAACACGGCCCAGACUCCUACGGGAGGCAGCAGUGGGGAAUAUUGCGCAAUGGGGGAAACCCUGACGCAGCGACGCCGCGUGUAGGAAGAAGGCCUUCGGGUCGUAAACUACUGUCAAGAGGGAAGAAACUGUUUGAUCAUAAUACGGUCAUUCACUGACGGUACCUCUAGAGGAAGCACCGGCUAACUCCGUG
rnacentral:rRNA from 1 species